rnacentral:rRNA from 1 species
UACAAAGGAAGUUGACGGGGCCGCACAAGCGGUGGAGCAUGUGGUUAAUUCGAAGCAACGCGAAGAACCUUACCAGGUCUUGACAUCCCCUGACAACCCGAGAGAUCGGGCCGUUCCCCGUUCGGGGGGACAGGGUGACAGGUGGUGCAUGGUUGUCGUCAGCUCGUGUCGUGAGAUGUUGGGUUAAGUCCCGCAACGAGCGCAACCCUCGACCUUAGUUGCCAGCAUUCAGUUGGGCACUCUAAGGUGACUGCCGGCUAAAAGUCGGAGGAAGGUGGGAUGACGUCAAAUCAUCAUGCCCCUUAUGUUCUGGGCUACACACGUGCUACAAUGGCCGGUACAGACGGAGGCGAAGCCGCGAGGCGGAGCAAAUCCGAAAAAGCCGGUCUCAGUUCGGAUUGCAGGCUGCAAUUCGCCUGCAUGAAGUCGGAAUCGCUAGUAAUCGCAGGUCAGCAUACUGCGGUGAGUACGUUCCCGGGCCUU